UAUACUGAUUCGCAUUUAUGUAGCAUAAUGUGGUAGGAUAAACAUUUUAUGUAUGAUGAUGUAGAAGCCACAGUCGUUUUGUACACCAAAUUUCAAUGGCAUGGAAGAAAAUGUGUUUGGAACAUAAUAAUGAAAUAAGAAUACAUUUCAAUUGGCAUAUUUCAAGAUUAUGUUUUGCAUUGAGGAUAUGUAUUUGAAUGAUCUCGUUUUCAAUUGUUAUAGUGGUUAGUAAUAGCGAAACAGAUAUACACGUUCAGGAAAUGUACGUUUGUUUCUGAAUUGGAUUUUGUCAUUUACGAUUUGUCGUCGACCUGUUUUUAUCAAGGAUAGAGUAUACUAUAUACAUCAGAAAACAAAGCUGACAGGGCUCUCGUCAGGAUUUGUCUGACAUUUGGCUCAGUGAUCGGUUUUAUCCUUUAUAUUUUGUUAUUAUCCAGUUGGUUGGAAUCGGCCACUGUGCGAGCGAUAUAUCCGCAAUGGGGAUAAUACUUCACAACAGAACAGAAAAUAGAGACCGAAGUAUCUGUUCAGGUGCACUGGGUAUAGGCUCAGACAUCGGACUCCGAUGAGAUAUUUAUUGAUCGGUCCGAUCGUUUAAUUAGCAUUUCAUAAUCAGACUUAUUUAGCAAAUACCUCUGGGUGCUCUUGUUUUGUCUUAACUAUUACAAGGCGACAACGGUGUGUUCUCUUUAACAUUGUGUCUCUAAAUCGACAUAAAUUUUUAUAGAAAGUUUUGAUCAUUGACUUAGGUACAGAUAAGUGUUUGAGCACAGGUAUGCGUGAUGUCCAAAGCUUGAUGAUUUCAGAGCUGCCUCCUCACUGACCGGCUCUGCUCAUCUGAAACUGCGUGUUCAUUACACGAUUUAGCCAAACUACUGAACUUCUUGCCUUUCUGUUGUUCUUUUUUUUCAUUCUAAGACGUGACCACGAUGAUACCUUUAGUAUAUCCACAAUACGGUUAUCUGCCGUGUGCUGUUUGUCUAUGUGCGUGUGUCCUAUUGCCGCCUACGUGCGCUAACUGAUAUCGCCAUUGCCUUGGCCGUGACAGUCCUUACCAUCCGCAGCAGCCCCAGCGGUAACAGCGCACGCAACCAGAAUCAGGUAGCCAGGACACGCCAGCCGUCGUCAAUUUGCUUCUACUUAUUUAUCUAUAUCCGUGUGCAGUCUAUCUCAAGUCUAUCGGGCCACCUGUCCGUUUGUCUGUCUCUCCAUUCAUAGGGGUUCCUGAGCCCUUGACGUCGUUCUGCUGUGUGUGGCAGUGGCCAUAACGAUGGCCACAGCCGCUGCUGUUAUCGCCCUUGUAGACCCUGGCGUGGCCAGCUAUACGGACAUCGCUGUAUUGCCAUCGAAAUCACCACAACGCAAGCGUCGAGCAUAAGCCCGAAACAACAGGACAGCCAUAUUUGGUUCUUUUUUUCUGCCAGCCACUCUCUAUACAAUCAGGAUUCGUGAUGAAAAUGACGGCCAAUUCUGCAAUGUGCCCUGUAUUUCUUACGGCUCAACCCAGUAGCGCCGGUAACCUUCAUUCAAUUUUGUCACCAGAGUUACCACUGAACCCGAGUAGAGCCUGUCGUGGUAAUCACCCCGCCAGCCGCCCCUGAUAGCACAAGAUUAGCGACGAAAGAAAGCAGGACGGUAAAUGGAAGCUACCAGCUCUAACGUAUGAUUGGACGGAUUUCAAUUUUGGAAGAAGGAUGCCACUUGGUCAUGUGGACGUAUUUUCAUUACGAUACUUCGAGACGUUGAAUGAACCUUCGGGGGGCCGGCAAAAAAAAAGAUGACGCAAUAAUAGGAAAGUCAGCUCGAUCAAUUAUUCGUCUGUAUUAGAAGUGAAACUGUUGGAACAUCACAGUGACGAUGUCGGCGCUCAAUUCCCCGCUCCGGCCCACAAAUUGAUCGCUUGGCCGUCGGCUCCGGGCCGAUCGACCAUCAGCACACGCAUGUUUGCACAGGAACAGAAACUUCAGGGUAAAGCCAGCACCAGACCUACCUACAGAUAAUGCUACGGAACUUCAAGUCAAUGAAGGCCGGUGUUGGGGUCCAAGCUUCAGGAAACGGUGUUUUUAGUUGGUUGAGCUAUUACCGGCUGAAGAUCGACGGACUGGAGUUGUAAUCUGCCAAUUCCUUUGCCACCUGUAACAGAAUGAGAAAGUAGUUUUAAAUACGUCGUGCGUGAUGUGCAAUGUUCGACGAAUGUGACGUCGUUCACCUGCUCGAAAACCGUAUAGUUAUUCUCGAUGGCGAACAGCACAGACAUUAUCUGGGCGCCCUGCAACACAAAUUCCGACAUCGACAAUAAUCGGAACAGCUAUUGCGGUAAUAUCAUGGCAAAGAAAGCUUCCAAACGCCAGCUAAAACCAGGCCAGCGUCUGGCAUCA